rnacentral:misc_RNA from 4 species
UUUCUAUGGAGUAUCAUAGUAUAAGAGAAAAAAAGCUGAGUGAAUUGACAAAACAGCUUUUGAUUAUAUCUUAGUUCUAUCUAGUUUUCAGAGAUUGUUUGCGCCAAUAGGCGCGCAAUUUCUGAAAAAGAAAAUCGUUCUUUGAAAACUGAAUAUUAGAUGAAAAAAUAGACAUUUAAUUUUUCUUACGUUUAACAAUAAAACGUAAAAAUAGUAACUAAAAUUACUAAGAAAAACUAAAAUUUCAAUUAUAUUAUAUAGAUUAUUUAUAAAUGCAAAU